rnacentral:lncRNA from 1 species
UACUUCUGUAAAACAAAAAAUUACUCCUUUAUUAAAUCUUUGGUAAGUUGGGAAUUCCAUCUAUCAGCUGUUCUCAAGGCAUAUACAAAUGGGAGAUCCUCUCUGUAGUACAUCCAUGAUUUUGUCAGUGUGUCCUCCGUCCACUAAGAUCACAAUUCCUCUGUGUCUCAGUAAUUUUCAUGAUUGUUACUGUCAUUGCCCUGAUAGUAAACUCUUUAGUAAUGAAUUCUCUUGUACCUGGGUUGGCUAGUGCUCCGACAACAGACAAACAGACAUUACUUAGGACUAUAAGUCUAUAUAGCCCAAUUAAUUAGACCUUGUGUCUACUAGCAUAUAGUCUUCAGGAAUCCAAGGAUCCCUUCUUCCUCAGUGAGUCAUUAGAGGAUUGAAUGAGGACAAAUUAAAUAUAAUUAAAUAUGUGUGUGUGUGUGUGUGUGUGUGUGUGUGUGUGUGUGUGUGUGUGUGUGUGUGUGUAAUUGACAUCGUCAGUAAGGGGUGUGUGCUAGCUGGUACAGGUAGAUUUCCUUUUAUGAAAGCACCUGACUCUUACGUGAUUGAUGGAAAAUUGAAAGAUAGAUGAAUAGGCAGUGAUGUCCAUGUGCCUCCCACGUAGGAGUGUGCUGGUAAAUGUUUAACUAACUUUCUUUCUCAGGAAAAAAAAAAUACACUAACAUUUCAUCUGCAUUGUUAACAGUUUUCUUUUUUAAACCCUUACCUUCUAUUUAGCACAAGAGUGAUGAGGGCUGCCAGGAAGUGUCUGAGGUCACAUUUGAACCCAGGACAUCCUGUCUCCAGGUCUAGCCCUCAAUCCACUGAGCCAUCCAGCUUCCCCCUCCAUCACUUUCUUACUAAGAGGCCUUCAACAAAACUAUAAGUCAAGCCCUGAUUUUGAAACUCUGAAGACCUCUCCUUUCCCGUUCUGGGCUUUGGCUGACUUUCAAAGUCAGGGGGUGAAUGAAGGAGAUGGAGGGAAAAGACAAGGAGGAAGUUGUCUCACCAGUAACAAGCUCUUACUGUCUUGGUGGCCUCCCUCGGCCUUGACCUCCCCGGCUGUUCAAGCAUUACCAGCCCCAUUCCAUGAACAUCAAAGAGAUGGAGGAAGUUCCCGGAAUACCCAGGUUCUAUUGUACAGAGAAUGACGCCCUCUAUCCAUCAAACUUCUGAAGGCAGACUGUAUUCCUGUGAU